rnacentral:lncRNA from 1 species
UUGAUCUAGCCCAAGUAUCUCUUUUCUUAAUACACCAAAGUGUCUACAAAGAUUUUAUUACUUUGUUUUAGUUUCUCCAUUUAGACACAAGAGGAUUUUCACCUCAUAUUUCUAAUAUGAAUAUUUUACAAAUAAUUUCAUAUUAGACUUUCAUUUCUCAUUCAAAAGAACUUCGUUUUUGACAUAUGAUUACAAUAUGUUAUAGUGCUCAUAACAAUGAAUCCAACGAUUCCACAAUCCGGUCAUUCCGACAAUCAAAUUGCUCGAAAAAUCAUCGGAAUAUUGGCCAUAGCCAUUUGUCCAAUAAACAGUUUCAACAAUCCCCCACAUGAAUAUAAAUGACUCUAAACACUAGACUACUCGGUAGACUUGACAGACUUGACUACCUAGACAAGACUCGAUAAGACUCAAAAAAGACUCGAUAAAAACAACUUUUGAGAGUAUAAACAAAAAA